rnacentral:lncRNA from 1 species
UUGGAACACUGGGGAGGAUUUCUUACCUGGUGACUUAGAAAGGGAAGAAACUGGUCAAGGUUUGGUGUAGCCCUUCCCUGGAAGCCUCUUGCACAUGGCUUAUAGUGCAGGAUACCCCUCUGAGAACAGAGAGUCACCUCUUGGAUCCCUCUUGGCUCACCUGUCUUCUCUGAGGAUUUAUUUUUUUACGUGCCUUAUAUUGUGGUCCUUACUGCAGAAGAUGCUAAGAAAGAAAAUUAAUAAAGAGCAUUUUCUUUAAUUACCACUUAACUACAAAAGGAGAGAAUUUAGCUCAGCAUCUAAUUUUGUUGAUGAAAAUUUCUAAAGAUGCUUUAAAAAAUUUAAAUGAAGAAUCUCUCUCACUGAUCUAGGAUUUUUUUUUCUUCUUAAGGAGAAAUUGACUUCAUUCCAGUCAUGGCUGUUAAUAUCACUGGCCUCCUUCUUCUCUCCCUCCACUGCAUGCUGCCUCCUUCAGUAAAGCACACUGUUUGAAACAGACAGACACUGGGUUUUAGCCAUCAGUGGGCAGUGGGUUUGGUGGGCAACAUGCCAUAGCAGGAGAAUAUAGUGGCUGGUCAUAGUUACUUGAGUUUGAACCCUGGCUCUGUCCAGUAAGAGUAAAUGACUUCGUUCCUUUGUACCUUCAAUUUCUCAUUUCAUCUCUUUUGGGGACUGGUAUCUCUAUGCAAAGCACUUAGCAGGAUGUCUGGCAUAAUAAGGAUGAAACAAAUAGAAAAUAAUAUUGCUUUAUUUGGGGGUAGGCAUGGGACUUAACACAGCUUCUAGAAACUGUUGACCUCUUCAUCUUUCUAAAAUAAUUGUUUUAGGGCUUAUCUGGGUCACAGACUCUAUGGAGAGGCUGAUGAACGCCCCUGGUGUCUUUCCCCAGAAAAAGGAAAUAUGCAGAUGAUGCAAAAUUUUGCUUUUAUUGAUUGCUUACUGUUUGUAGCCCAGUGAUUCUCAAUAUGUUCCACUAUGGGUAUCUUUUAUUUAAUGUCAGUAUGUUUUGCUUUUUACUCUCCUUCCUCAACAUACAAGUACUGGAAGUUUUCACCUUGUUGAUUGAGAAAAUACCUAAUGACACGCAGAGACCCUGAAUUCCAUAAUACCGUUAGGAGAUUUUGCAUUUCGUCAAUCACAGCAGCACCUACACAGCUUUGAAAGGAACAGUUGUAAAUACUUCUAUGGGCUGCAUGAUUGAUUCCAUCUGCAUUCAAUGAUUGGUACCCAUGUGGAUUCCUCCAUUGUUGGAAACCUCUCUGGCAGAGAAGGUUUAUGGAUUCAAAGACUGGAAGGGAAUCAAAGGAUCAUUCAAUCUAGCUUCAUUAUACUGCAUAAUGCUGAGGUCAAAGGAGGGAAACCAACUUUUUCAAAAUCACACAGCCAGAUAGUAGCAGCGAGGAGACCAGAACCCAGAAUCCCUAUAGCUUAAUGGCUGCCUGAAGCCGACUCUCUCUCUGGCAGUUAGGAGUUGGUGAAGAGUCUUUCUCCUCCACCAGCCAGUGGUCAUUGGUCUGUAGGGAGUGAACUGGGAAAUGAAGCUUGGCAAAUGACUGCAGCUCAAAGCUAGAGUGACCGUGUAAUUUAUCUUCCAAACUGGGACACAUCUGAGAGAGAAAGCGAGCACUAUUAAUAAUUAUUCCGGGGCAAUAGGUGUAAACCAAGACUAUUCUGGGCAAGCCAGGACAUCGGGUCACCCUGCUGAAAACCCACCUCAGCUUACCAAGGACCUAUUUCAGAGUACUUUAAAGGCCAUUCAGCAAUCAGGAUGACUUGCUCGAAGGAAUUUGGGCCAAAUAUCUGACCACCUUCAUGUCUUGAAAGCACAGCAAAAAAGCUUUGAAUUCUGGAAACUCACUGGAAAUUGCUGUAGACCCCUGAGAUAUUUUGGCUCCCUAUUUCUGAGACCCUAUAGCAACUCAGAUCCCCUCAUCCUUUAUUCUUUCCUAUCACAAGUACUAGCUCCUUCCCAGUCCCUCUGUAGGAAAAUGUUGGCAUCUGCGAGGCAGCUUGGGCAAUUAUUUCUUUAGAGCUUGUCAGCAUAGUAAGGGGUCUACUGAACCUGGAGAGGGUGUGGGAUCAGGUGUUCUGCUGGAUACCCUUGAACAAUUCCUUCUUCUCUCUCUAGUUCUCAUGUCUAUGAAACUAAAGGUGGGGCUAAUUCACUGGUGCCUUACAUUAGUCAGAGUGAGCUGGGUUGUGCUGCUAUAACAAAUAGCCCUCAAUUCUAAGGGAAUUUAUACAACAAAGAUUUAUUUCCCGCACUGCUUUAACAGAGGUGGGUAGAGUGGGCUCUGCUCUUCAUAGUCUUCCAGGGUCCAUGCAAGUGAUGGGACCUAAAUACUUUUACCUAAAAGUGACAUGUGCCAUUUACAUCCCAUUGGCCCCAAUCAGUCACGUGGAAACACUUAAGAAGGCAGAGACAAAUGGUCCUGUCAUGGAGAAUCAGAAUAUUCAUAAAUGCUCCCAUGACUACUCCACCGCCAAAUUUUCCUAGGUUUAUAUUUCAAGUGAAAUAAUAAUUUUAUCCCCCUACCCCACAAAGGAAAUUUAAUCAAGAAGCAUGCACU